AUUGAACGCUGGCGGCAUGCCUAACACAUGCAAGUCGAACGGGGCAGCAAUGCCUAGUGGCGGACGGGUGAGGAAUACGUAGGAAUCUGCCCUUAAGUGGGGGAUAACCAGGGGAAACCCUGACUAAUACCGCAUGAUCUCUUCGGAGCAAAGAGGGGUACCGCAAGGCCUCUCGCUUCUGGAUGAGCCUACGUCUGAUUAGCUAGUUGGUAGGGUAAAGGCCUACCAAGGCGACGAUCAGUAACUGGUCUGAGAGGAUGAUCAGUCACACCGGAACUGAGACACGGUCCGGACUCCUACGGGAGGCAGCAGUGGGGAAUAUUGGACAAUGGGCGCAAGCCUGAUCCAGCCAUGCCGCGUGAGUGAUGAAGGCCUUAGGGUUGUAAAGCUCUUUCACCGGUGAAGAUAAUGACGGUAACCGGAGAAGAAGCCCCGGCUAACUUCGUGCCAGCAGCCGCGGUAACAC
rnacentral:rRNA from 1 species